GACGAACGCUGGCGGCGUGCCUAAUACAUGCAAGUCGAGCGGACUUAAAAAGCUUGCUUUUUAAGUUAGCGGCGGACGGGUGAGUAACACGUGGGCAACCUGCCUGUAAGACUGGGAUAACUUCGGGAAACCGGAGCUAAUACCGGAUAAUCCUUUCCUACUCAUGUAGGAAAGCUGAAAGACGGUUUACGCUGUCACUUACAGAUGGGCCCGCGGCGCAUUAGCUAGUUGGUGAGGUAACGCCUCACCAAGGCGACGAUGCGUAGCCGACCUGAGAGGGUGAUCGGCCACACUGGGACUGAGACACGGCCCAGACUCCUACGGGAGGCAGCAGUAGGGAAUCUUCCGCAAUGGACGAAAGUCUGACGGAGCAACGCCGCGUGAGUGAUGAAGGUUUUCGGAUCGUAAAACUCUGUUGUUAGGGAAGAACAAGUACGAGAGUAACUGCUCGUACCUUAACGGUACCUAACCAGAAAGCCACGGCUAACUACGUGCCAGCAGCCGCAGUAA
rnacentral:rRNA from 1 species